rnacentral:rRNA from 1 species
UGAGGAAUAUUGGUCAAUGGGCGAGAGCCUGAACCAGCCAAGUAGCGUGCAGGAUGACGGCCCUAUGGGUUGUAAACUGCUUUUAUAUGGUAAUAAAGUGAGGGACGUGUCCCUUAUUGCAUGUACCAUACGAAUAAGGACCGGCUAAUUCCGUGCCAGCAGCCGCGGUAAUACGGAAGGUCCAGGCGUUAUCCGGAUUUAUUGGGUUUAAAGGGAGCGUAGGCUGUUUGUUAAGCGUGUUGUGAAAUGUAGGAGCUCAACUUUUAGAUUGCAGCGCGAACUGGCAGACUUGAGUGCGCACAACGUAGGCGGAAUUCAUGGUGUAGCGGUGAAAUGCUUAGAUAUCAUGACGAACUCCGAUUGCGAAGGCAGCUUACGGGAGCGCAACUGACGCUAAAGCUCGAAGGUGCGGGUAUCGAACAGG